rnacentral:rRNA from 1 species
CCGGGUGAGUAAUACAUCGGAACGUGUCUUCUAGUGGGGGAUAACUGCCCGAAACGGGCGAGCUAAUACCGCAUGAGACCUGAGGGUGGAAAGCGGGGGAGUCGCAAGACCUCGCGCUGGAGAGCGGCCGAUGUCCGAUUAGCUAGUUGGUGAGGUAAAGGCUCACCAAGGCGACGAUCGGUAGCUGGUCUGAGAGGACGACCAGCCACACUGGGACUGAGACACGGCCCAG